GAUGAAUGCUGGCGGCGUGCCUAACACAUGCAAGUCGAGCGGCAGCGAGGGGUGCUUGCACUCUGUCGGCGAGCGGCGAACGGCUGAGUAACGCGUAGGAAUUUGCCCCAAAGUGAGGAAUAACUGCCCGAAAGGGUAGCUAAUGCCGCAUAUGGUCUUCGGAUUAAAGGAUUUAUCCGCUUUGGGAGAAGCCUGCGUUGGAUUAGGUUGUUGGUAGGGUAAUGGCCUACCAAGCCGACGAUCCAUAGCUGGUCUGAGAGGAUGAUCAGCCAGACUGGAACUGGGACACGGUCCAGACUCCUACGGGAGGCAGCAGUGAGGAAUCUUCCACAAUGGGCGAAAGCCUGAUGGAGCAACGCCGCGUGAAGGAUGAAGGCCUUCGGGUUGUAAACUUCUUUUAUGAGUGAAGAAUAUGACGGUAACUCAUGAAUAAGCACCGGCUAACUACGUG
rnacentral:rRNA from 1 species